UCUCUCGCGCUCGCUCGCUCGCUCCAGUAUGUAAAUGUGUAAUAGAAGCCAAAUAUGGAGCAGUUGGCUGCCGCCGCCACAGCUCAAGGAUCCGACUUCAUGGGGGGGGGGGCACCCUCUGGCAGGCGGCCCGGCGAGCCGCACAGAGCACGGCGAGCGCACGGCGCAGCUACCGGCCCGCGCCCUUAACCCUUCUGUGCACCGGGCCGGAGCAGCGGUCCCUCUAGGGGAGGCCCGGUGCCUCUCCCUAACUGCGGCUCCGGAUCCCGGACAUCGGCCUGAGGGGACUGUGCCUUCCAGCUAACAGGGAAUCAUUCAUUUCAUCGGAAGUGAGGUAACCGGUGCCCCUAUCAUGAUCAUUCGAUGGCCGUUCUCGGGAAUCCACAGCGAAGGAACUUUCCCUGGUCCCGGUGGCUGAACGCAGACCUGGAGUCCCCACCCACCCCUCCGCUAUGCCGCUGCCAGGUGUGAGCUCGGUGGGAAGGAAUCUUCUCCGGAGGACUGUACCUUGCCAACAGGUGUGGCACCCGGAGGAAGAGCGGCCACAACCCUACAAGGGUCGCUUAGCGCUGCGUUCCCUUUGCUACAGAUAAUUCUCGAAAACCAGCUUGCAUUCUUCCAGUGGACUCCAGGAAUCCUGCUUGGAAAAGACACCUUAUUUCCUGACUGCACAAAGCUCCGGUUUGAUGCUCAGCACCACACUGGGUGUGCUGGUACACACCUGCAACCUCUGCGGGAAGGUCGAGGAGUCCAAGUCAUCGUCCCUGGACUACACGGCAAGUUCAGCGCCGGCCUAGGAUACACGAGAUGUCUUAAGAACAAAAAGGGAAAGAAAAGAAGUGAAGGGACUCCCUGGCCUGGUGACAUACUCAAAGGCUGAAAGAGCUUAUCACCAAGCCUGAGGACCCAGGCGCAGUGCCUCAGUCCACGUGGUGGAAGAACAGACCAGGUCCUGCAAGUUGUCCCUGACCUCCAUGGCAGCCCUUAGGGAGAAUGCCUCCCCCCACCCUCACAGUAAAUAAAUGAACAUGAUAAAAUUCUGUUAAUCAAAGGGAAAGAUGGGAUGUGUUAGUUUUCUCUAGUCAAAAUAGUGAUAAUUCUUCUAAAAUAAGACAACCCUGAGAGAAACUAAUGCAGAACUAAAAGGGGAGUUAGUUCAUCAAUAUUAUACUCAAUAAAUUGAUUUUGAGUCAAACACAUUUUGGUUAAAAAAAUUGGUAUUUUUUUGCCAUACUUUCAAAAAUGUCUUAUUUUAGUUUGUAGUGCUUGCCAUAAUGAUUAUCAAAUUCUUGACUAUAUUUGUGUAGUAUACCAUGCUGGUCAUAGUUCUCCUAUAUCAUAUCCAUAAACACUUCCCUGGGGUGGCUAGGGAACAUAGCAAAAGCCAACACUGAAAUGAGGAAGCUGCACAGUGAGAGCUAGUCGAUAUUUAGUGAAUAUUUAUUUAUUCAUAUAUUGAGGAUGGAUUUCAUUAAGUAGCCCAGGCUAGCCUAGAACCUCCAAUCCUCCUGUCAGAGCCACAGGACUGCUGGGAUGACAGCCUAGAUCAUCCUCCAGCUGAUAAGUAUGCAUUUCAGUAAGAGAUGAAGAGCAGGGACCAGGUGCAGGAGGCGGUGGGAGGUUACGGGAUAAAAAAGAGAGGAAGAACAGAGUACCAGUCCUGGAACCUCAGACCUAUGGUCCAGCAUUUGCGAAGUAGAGACAGGGAUCUGGAGCUCAAAGUCAACCUCAGUUGCAUAGAGUUGGAGGCUACAUGGGACCUUAUAAUUAGAAACUGUGACUUAAUUUUCAAGUUGCUUUUUCUGUCCUUGUCAUGCCUCAGUAGCUAUUUGCUUGGCAUCUGGUAUACAAUACAUAGGCCCUGAAAAUGCACACUGAGGAAAAUAUACUGGCCUACAAAGAGUUUAGAGUGUUACCAGUCUUACCUUUUAAAAAAUGUAAAUUUUCACCAGGGUUAAGAUGCUCACAGCUGGCUGACCAGUGCCUCUCAGAAAUACAUACAGCAAAGCUGGAAGCACGGAGAAGUUACUCAUUGAGAUGUUGCCGCUGAGAGAGCCGUUGUAUAACUGUUGAACAAGAUAUCCAUCGAUAACCUGUUUUGAGUGUAUAUUUGAUCUGGCAUCCAUGACAACAUCAGUAAACAAAAAGAUGACAUGGAACAGAAGAGUUACCCAGACAGCUCUGGAGUCUCCUCCCCAUCUUUCCAGAAGAGACAAUUAUUGGCUCUGGCCUGUGACACGGGCCACCUCAACAGGCCUCAAAGAACACAGCAUGAUCCUGCCUGGCCUGAGGCCAGGUCUAGGAACAAGGGCUUCUACAGGGCUUCUCAGCUGCCUCUGUUGGGUACCAGCCCACACAGCAGUUGUCCUCCACAAAAAUAUGGUAGCUAAAGAUGCAGAGUAGACUAACAAUAAAUUAAUUAGGCAUGCAAGCAAUCAACCCGAGGCAAAAAAAAAACCAAACAAAUCAAAUCAUACAAACCUGUUCAUGAUAGCAGCUGUCUACAUCUUCAGAGUAGAGGAGUAUAUACCAUGUCCAGGCCUUGGACUUCUCCAGAUAUGGUCAAGGGUAGACACAUUUUUUGUCUUCCUUUCUCCCUCCCUCCCUCCCUC